UACGUAGGGGGCUAGCGUUGUCCGGAAUCAUUGGGCGUAAAGCGCGUGUAGGCGGUCCGGUAAGUCCGCUGUGAAAGUCGGGGGUCAACCCUCGAAUGCCGGUGGAUACUGUCGGGCUAGAGUGCGGAAGAGGCGAGUGGAAUUCCUGGUGUAGCGGUGAAAUGCGCAGAUAUCAGGAGGAACACCAAUUGCGAAAGGCAGCUCG
rnacentral:rRNA from 1 species